UACGGAGGAUGCGAGCGUUAUCCGGAUUCAUUGGGUUUAAAGGGUGCGUAGGCUGUUUUUCAAGUCAGAGGUGAAAGCCCGGGGCUUAACUCCGGAACUGCCUUUGAUACUGGGAGGCUUGAAUGCUGUUGCCGUGGGAGGAAUGAGUAGUGUAGCGGUGAAAUGCAUAGAUAUUACUCAGAACACCGAUUGCGAAGGCAUCUCACGAAGCAGUGAUUGACGCUGAGGCACGAAAGCGUGGGGAUCAAAC
rnacentral:rRNA from 1 species